GCAGGGGUUCCCGAGUGGCCAAAGGGAUCAGACUGUAAAUCUGACACGCAAGUUUCGGUGGUUCGAAUCCACCCCCCUGCACCA
rnacentral:tRNA from 1 species